rnacentral:rRNA from 1 species
CAAUAGCGUAUAUUAAAGUUGUUGCAGUUAAAAAGCUCGUAGUUGGAUUUGUGGCGUACGGUGUGUUCCGGGCACUUGUUGUCUGAGUAACCUGCUGUUGCCAUCCUUGGGUGGAACCUGUGUGGCAUUAGGUUGUCGUGCAGGGGAUGCCCAUCAUUUACUGUGAAAAAAUUAGAGUGUUCAAAGCAGGCUUAUGCCGUUGAAUAUAUUAGCAUGGAAUACUGAGAUAGGACUUUUUUGCUAUUUUGUUGGUUUGCGCAAAGAGGUAAUGAUUAAUAGGGACAGUUGGGGGUAUUCGUAUUCCAUUGUCAGAGGUGAAAUUCUUGGAUUUUUGGAAGACGAACUACUGCGAAAGCAUUUACCAAGGAUGUUUUCAUUAA